rnacentral:tRNA from 1 species
AAGGACUUAGUUAUAAAAUUAUUAGCCUUCAAGGUUAUAGAUAAAAAUAAUCUAUUUUUAGGCCUUA